rnacentral:rRNA from 1 species
AGUGAACGCUGGCGGUAGGCCUAACACAUGCAAGUCGAACGGCAGCACAGUAAGGGCUUGCUCUUACGGGUGGCGAGUGGCGGACGGGUGAGGAAUACAUCGGAAUCUACUUUUUCGUGGGGGAUAACGUAGGGAAACUUACGCUAAUACCGCAUACGACCUACGGGUGAAAGCAGGGGAUCUUCGGACCUUGCGCGAUUGAAUGAGCCGAUGUCGGAUUAGCUAGUUGGCGGGGUAAAGGCCCACCAAGGCGACGAUCCGUAGCUGGUCUGAGAGGAUGAUCAGCCACACUGGAACUGAGACACGGUCCAGACUCCUACGGGAGGCAGCAGUGGGGAAUAUUGGACAAAGGGCGCAAGCCUGAUCCAGCCAUACUGCGUGGGUGAAGAAGGCCUUCGGGUUGUAAAGCCCUUUUGUUGGGAAAGAAAAGCAGCAGGUUAAUACCCCGCUGUUCUGACGGUACCCAAAGAAUAAGCACCGGCUAACUUCGUG